GUCUUUUUGAAAUAAUAAUAAUUUAAAGUCUAAUCUGCCCACUGAUAGGUUAUAUUAAAGGGCUGCAGUAUUUUGACUGUACAAAGGUAGCAUAAUCAUUAGUCUCUUAAUUGGUGACUUGUAUGAAUGAUUGGAUGAAAUAUAAGCUGUUUCUUAUUUAUUUAUAGAAUUUAAUUUUUUCAUUAAAAAGUGAAAAUAAAUUUAAAAGACGAGAAGACCCCAUAGAGUUUUAUAUAUGAAAUAAUUUAAUAAUUAUGUUUAAGAGAAUUAAUUAAAAUAAUUUAAUAUAUUUUAUUGGGGUGAUAAAAAAAUUAAGAAAACUUUUUUAUAAUUUUUCCAUAAAUAAGUGAAUAAAUGAUCCAUUAUUAUUGAUUAAAAGAAAAAAUUACCUUGGGGAUAACAGCGUAAUUUUUUCUUUUAGUUCAAAUAGGAGAAAGAGUUUGCGACCUCGAUGUUGGAUUAAGAUAAAAUUUAAAUGCAAAAGUUUAAAAUUUUGAUCUGUUCGAUCAUUAAAAUCUUACAUGAUCUGAGUUCAAACCGGUGUAAGCCAGGUUGGUUUCUAUCUUUAAAUAAAUUAAAUAUUUUAGUACGAAAGGAUUGAAUAUUUAAAAUAAUUUUUAAUUUUAGAAUUUUAUUAAUUUGAUUAUAGAAUUAAAAUUUUUAUUUUAUUAAUAUAU
rnacentral:rRNA from 1 species